rnacentral:rRNA from 1 species
GUGGGGAAUAUUGGGCAAUGGGCGCAAGCCUGACCCAGCAACGCCGCGUGAGGGAAGAAGGUUUUCGGAUUGUAAACCUCUGUCGCAAGGGACGAAGAAGUGACGGUACCUUGUGAGGAAGCCCCGGCUAACUACGUGCCAGCAGCCGCGGUAAUACGUAGGGGGCGAGCGUUGUCCGGAAUUACUGGGCGUAAAGGGUGCGUAGGCGGUUGCUUAAGUUGGAUGUGAAAUACCCGGGCGUAACUUGGGGGGUGCAUUCAAAACUGGGCAACUAGAGUUCAGGAGAGGGAAGCGGAAUUCCUAGUGUAGCGGUGAAAUGCGUAGAUAUUAGGAGGAACACCAGUGGCGCAGGCGGCUUUCUGGACUGACACUGACGCUGAGGCACGAAAGCGUGGGGAGCAAACAGGAUUAGAUACCCGGGUAGUCC